rnacentral:rRNA from 1 species
UACGUAGGGUGCAAGCGUUAAUCGGAAUUACUGGGCGUAAAGCGUGCGCAGGCGGCUUUGCAAGUCAGAUGUGAAAUCCCCGGGCUCAACCUGGGAACUGCAUUUGUGACUGCAUGGCUAGAGUACGGUAGAGGGGGAUGGAAUUCCGCGUGUAGCAGUGAAAUGCGUAGAUAUGCGGAGGAACACCGAUGGCGAAGGCAAUCCCCUGGACCGGUACUGACGCUCAGGCACGAAAGCGUGGGGAGCAAACAGG